rnacentral:rRNA from 1 species
CGGUAAUACGGAGGGGGCAAGCGUUGUUCGGAUUUACUGGGCGUAAAGGGUGUGUAGGCGGUUGCGUAAGUCUGGUGUGAAAUCUUCACCGCUUAACGGGAAGAGGUCACUGGAAACUGCGUAACUCGAGUAUGGUAGAGGCAAGCGGAAUUCCUGGUGUAGCGGUGGAAUGUGUAGAUAUCAGGAAGAACACCGGUGGCGAAGGCGGCUUGCUGGGCCAUCACUGACGCUGAGACACGAAAGCGUGGGGAGCAAACGGGAUUAGAUACCCCGGUAGUCCACGCUGUAAACGGUGCGCACUAGGUGUGGGAGGUAUCGACCCCUCCUGUGCCGCAGUCAACACAUUAAGUGCGCCGCCUGGGGAGUACGGCCGCAAGGUUGAA